rnacentral:lncRNA from 1 species
UAAGCAAAAAGAGUAAAAAUAAGAAAGGGGUUGCCAGAAUUUUUUUCAGUAUUUAAGCAAAAAGAGAUAAAUACUAACUUUCACAUUUUUGGGUGUUCAUGUACAUUUUGUAUAUAUUUAUUUUUCUCAACUAAAUGACUUUUUUGGUGUAUUUUUAAUGAUAUAUAUAUGAGUAGUCCAAAUAAUUAUUACGUCUGGCAAGGCUUUUUUAAUUUUAUUCUGGGACACCUUCCUAUGACCGCAAGGCUAUGUUAUUUUUUUUCUUGGUCGUAGGAAGGCGUCCCAGAAAAAAAAUAAAAUAUCCUUGCCAGACGUCAUAAUUAUUUGGACUAAUACAUGAGAUAUUGGAUAUUUUUAUGCAUUAUUUUAACCAGUUGAGCAUUUUACAGGAUUGUUCGUUUAAUGCUGUUUAAACUUUACUGGAAAAAAAAACACCUUAAAUUUGCUAAUUAUUUGGCAUGAAAGUUUGAUUUAUUGAAAGGGACUCAUAGUUUUCCAUUUUAUUUAAAUAAUUGUCUAAUUGUUAAAACAACAGCUUGAACAAGGGCUUCGCUGUUUACCUUUAUACACAACAACAUAUUCACUUUGGUUUCGUUGUUUACCUAAAUACACAACAACAUAUUCACUAUGUACUUGGUAACAGUUAUUAAUUGAUUGAAUAGAAAAUAUUAUAACAAAUAUUAUUGGAUGCCGAAUUGACGUCAAAUAGGUGCCGAUUUGACUAGAUGCCAAUUUAACUAGGUGCCGACUUGAACUUCAAGUCGGACUUGACUUGUACGUUUCAAUUCCUCUGCGAUCGUUUG